rnacentral:rRNA from 1 species
UACGAAGGGGGCUAGCGUUGUUCGGAAUCACUGGGCGUAAAGGGCGCGUAGGCGGCCGAUCAAGUCGGGGGUGAAAGCCUGUGGCUCAACCACAGAAUUGCCUUCGAUACUGUUUGGCUUGAGACCGGAAGAGGUUAGUGGAACUGCGAGUGUAGAGGUGAAAUUCGUAGAUAUUCGCAAGAACACCAGUGGCGAAGGCGGCUGACUGGCCCGAUACUGACGCUGAGGCACGAAAGCGUGGGGAGCAAACAGG